UGCGGGCCCUGAGUUUCCCCCGUGUCGCCCGAUGUGCGGACCCUGAAUUUCCCCGUGUCGCCCGGGUUCUGCCCAGCCCUGAGUCUCCCCGUGUUGCCCGGGUCCUGCCCAGUCCCGAGUCCUGCUCCCCCGUCUGAUCCUGAGUCCCGUCCUGUUCCUGUCCAGUCCUGCUUCUGCCCUGAGUCCUGUGUCCAGUCCUGUUCCUGUCGAGUCCUGUUUCCAGCCCCGAGUCCCUCUCCAGCCCCGAGUCCCUCUCCAGCCCCGAGUCCCUCUCCAGCCCCGAGAUCCCUUCCUGUCCACUCCAGCCCCGAGUCUUGUCUUGUUCCGUUCCUGUCCAGUCCAGCCCCGAGUCUUGUCUUGUUCCGUUCCUGUCCAGUCCAGCCCCGAGUCUUGUCUUGUUCCGUUCCUGUCCAGUCCAGCCCCGAGUCUUGUCUUGUUCCGUUCCUGUCCGGUUCCUGUCCCGAGUCUUGUCUUGUUCCGUUCCUGUCCUGUUCCUGCCCCAGUUCUGUGUCCAGUCCCUGUUCCUGUCUGAGUCCUGUUCCCUCGUCAGAGUCCGGUCCAGAGUCUUGUUCCUGUGUUCUGUCCCUGUUCUUGUCUUGUCCAGUCCUGAAUCCGGUCUCCAGCCCCACCCUCUGUUGACUCCCUCCCCGGGUCGGCCUCCUGGGACGUCAGGAGCCGUCCCUUGGGGGGGGGGUACUGUCAUGGUCCUGUGUUCCUGUCUGUGUUUCCCUUGUUGGGCCGCCAGAUGGCGGCACUUCUGUUUUGUGUCCUGCUCCCCUCCUGUUAAUUGUAUGAUUGUUUCAAUUGUCUCGUUAUCCCAUCAUGGUUCCCACCUGUGUCUUGUUAUCCCCUCCUUCUGGUUUGAUUGUUUUUUGAGUUCACCUGUGUCUUGUUACCCCUUGUCUAUUUAAGUUCUCUGUUCCCUUGACUCGGGUGCUGGUUCCUUGCGUUUGUUCUGCCUUGCGUUUGUUACCAAUGUAUGUUCAGUCCAUUUAUACCUGCCUGCGUUUGUUACCCGUUUGUGUUUUGUUCCUGACUUGUGUUUUUGACCUUCCCUUGUGCUCUGCCUUCCCGUGUUCUGCCCUGUCUGUGUUUUUGAGUUCCUGUUUUCUGUUUCAUUAGAUUAUUUUUUGAGUUUGUGUUUUAGCCCAUUGUGGCCUUAUCUGUUCCUUGUUUGUUCACCUUGUGUUAGUAAAGUCUUUGUUAAUUUUC